GAUGAACGCUGGCGGCGUGCCUAAUACAUGCAAGUCGAGCGAACGGACGAGAAGCUUGCUUUUCUGACGUUAGCGGCGGACGGGUGAGUAACACGUGGAUAACCUACCUAUAAGACUGGGAUAACUUCGGGAAACCGGAGCUAAUACCGGAUAAUAUUUUGAACCGCAUGGUUCAAAAGUGAAAGACGGUCUUGCUGUCACUUAUAGAUGGAUCCGCGCUGCAUUAGCUAGUUGGUAAGGUAACGGCUUACCAAGGCAACGAUGCAUAGCCGACCUGAGAGGGUGAUCGGCCACACUGGAACUGAGACACGGUCCAGACUCCUACGGGAGGCAGCAGUAGGGAAUCUUCCGCAAUGGGCGAAAGCCUGACGGAGCAACGCCGCGUGAGUGAUGAAGGUCUUCGGAUCGUAAAACUCUGUUAUUAGGGAAGAACAAAUGUGUAAGUAACUGUGCACAUCUUGACGGUACCUAAUCAGAAAGCCACGGCUAACUACGUG
rnacentral:rRNA from 1 species